rnacentral:rRNA from 1 species
UACAGAGGGUGCAAGCGUUGUUCGGAAUUAUUGGGCGUAAAGGGCGCGUAGGCGGCGUGUCAAGUCAGGCGUGAAAGCCCCGGGCUCAACCUGGGAACCGCGCUUGAGACUGGCCAAUGCUCGAGUUCGGGAGAGGAUGGUGGAAUUCCCAGUGUAGAGGUGAAAAUUCGUAGAUAUUGGGAAGAACACCGAUGGCGAAGGCAGCCAUCUGGACCGACACUGACGCUGAGGCGCGAAAGCGUGGGGAGCAAACAGGG